CUACGGGUGGCUGCAGUGGGGAAUAUUGCGCAAUGGGCGAAAGCCUGACGCAGCAACGCCGUGUGAGGGAUGAAGGCUUUCGGGUCGUAAACCUCUGUCAGAAGGGAAGAACGGGUAUUGGUCUAAUAGGCCUUUAUUUUGACGGUACCUUCAGAGGAAGCACCGGCUAACUCCGUGCCAGCAGCCGCGGUAAUACGGAGGGUGCAAGCGUUAUUCGGAAUUACUGGGCGUAAAGCGCACGUAGGCCGCUUUGUAAGUCAGGGGUGAAAUCCCACGGCUCAACCGUGGAACUGCCUUUGAAACUGCAGAGCUUAAAUCCUGGAGAGGGUGGCGGAAUUCCUGGUGUAGGAGUGAAAUCCGUAGAUAUCAGGAGGAACACCGGUGGCGAAGGCGGCCACCUGGACAGGUAUUGACGCUGAGGUGCGAAAGUGUGGGGAGCAAACAGGAUUAGAUACCCCGGUAGUC
rnacentral:rRNA from 1 species